rnacentral:lncRNA from 1 species
CCUCACUCUACGUCACAGAAUGCGCUUUUCCAGAAGCUAAGCAGAGGAGCUGGGCUCCAGAGAGAGGAAGGGGCUGAGAAAAGCACAGGCGGAGAAAAGACGAUUUUUCUUACAGGGCUAAAAUGCAGGGGACUUCCUUAUCCUGCCGACUUAGAGAAGCCCGGCCCCUUGUGAUCCAUUGCUGAAAGCCGCCUCGUGUUUGAAAAACGGAUCCGCUCCCAACUUCAGUGGAAGGACAUGACAUGUAGCACGAGGAAAGAUUGUGGCAUAUUACUGAACUAAGCAACCUAGUGACGUGUCUCUUCUGACUGGGGCUUGCCCACAGAGACAACUGUGACAUAGCACUGAGCCCAGGACCCAGGUGAUGUGACUCUGCUGCCUGUUUCCAACAUUCAUGAGAGGAUGGUAACUAUCCCUUGCCAAGAACUCAGGUGAUUUGACUGUCCUGCCUUGUUGCUGCCCUCAGAGAAGAUUGUGAUAUAUCUUCAGCCCCAAACCCAGUUUUUGCCCACAGGGGAGAUUGUGACAUAUCACUGGGCCUCAAACUAAGGUGAAGUUACACUUUCAUUUUCGAACUGUACUCAGAAGGCAUCGUGACAUAUUCCUGGGCCCAGCACCAAGGUGAUGUGAGUCUCCUGCCUGCACUUUGCCCACAAAUGGCAUUGUAACAUAUCUUUAGACCUAUCAACUACUUGAUAUGACUUAUUUUUUUAAAGUGAAAGCAAGUUUAUUAGAGAAGUAAAUAAACAAAAGAAUGGCUACUCCAUAGACAGAGAAGACCUCAG